UCUUCAUUCCGCGUGCUAUCUCGCCGGCUAGAGCGACGAGAGAGCGCGCGGAAUGAAGAGA
rnacentral:pre_miRNA from 1 species